AUGGCCCGAGCACGAGCCAUCGAGACCAGACUGGAGAAGCUGGUGCCCGCCCUCGAUGAGUAUUACACGAGCGGCUUCCUCACGCGCGAAGAGACGGUCGAGGUGUCACGGCAGCGUCAGCACUGGGAGUUCCGUCUCGUUGCCAAGCCUCUCCUCCUCCUCGAUGUGCGCGGGGCCAUCAAGUACGAGCUGGGGCUCGAGAAGCGCCUCCGGGAGUACUGCAUCUACACGAAGCUCAACCUGCAGCACCGCUGGGACAUCGUUGACCGCAUCGAGGGCAUCUACAAGAUCGGCCUCAAGCACCUGCGCAGCAAAGCAGAGCACGAGGCACUGCGGCAGGAGUGCGUGCUGUUUAUGAAGCAGUUCCAGCGCAAUGGCAGCCUCAGCAACCUCUACGGUGAGCUCAUGGUGAUGCACCCCCGGCGCAGUGACAUCUGGGUAGAGGCGGCGGAAUGGCAGGGGUUCUCGCAGCGCAACAUAGACAACGCCCGCGCAAUCAUCCAGCAGGCGCUGCUGACCAUGUCGUCAGAACCCGUGGUGUGGGCCUGCGCGUUGCGUGUGGAGCUAAAGUUUGUGCAGCGUCUCCUCGAAGGGCUGCUGGCCGAGCACCGCGAGGAGGUGCGUAAGGCGCGCAAGCGCGCGGCGAAGGCGGCUGAGGACGGGGACGAAGAGAACCGCGCCGACGAUGCCGUGGCGGCAGCUGAAGAGGAGGAGGCCACGUCAGCGAUAGCGCCGAAGCUGCGGGCCGAAAACGAGGACAUGGCUCACGUGCUGCUCGACCUUGCUUUAGCCAAGACAGUUGUGGAGGAGGCAUUUCGCAGCCCUGCCAGUGGGGCGGUGCUGCUGGAGCAGCUGCUGGCGGUCGCUGGCGCCUACGCCUUCGCGCGCGAGGUUGUGGAGCUUGCGGUGACGACGGCGGCUCGCAAGAUGGCCGAGGCCUGCAGCGGGUCCGCUGACGUGACAGUGGAGGCGGCGCGCGUCUGUGGCGCUCGCGGCGCGUCGGCCUCGUCCUCCCUCACCAUUGCAUCCGACCAGCAGCGGCUCCGUGUGCGCACGCAGUGGCGUCACCGACACAGCAUUGACACUGUCUUUGCGCACUAUCUCGCCCUGGAGGAUCUGAUCAUGAACCGGUACACGACGGCCAUAGUAGACACCACCACCUACCUCGCCAGCGGCGGCAGCGGAGGCGUCUUGUCCUCGAAGCGGCGAGACCAGCAGGGGCAGCAGCAGCAGCAGCAGCCGACUGUCGGCGCCUCACUCCUGGCCCCGUCACGGGAGGACCGCCGUCGUGCUGCUGUCAAGGCAGUCGUUUCACUGAUGGCGUUUUCGUUCACGCCGACGUCGGCGCUGUCGGAGUUGCCCGGCAUCGUGGCAGCUGACACAGACUCGACAAAACGCUUUCCGGCUGUGCGGCGCGCCUUUGCAGAGGCCCUGCGUCGCGUCGCCGCCUUGUCGGCUGAGGGGGUGUCGCGGGUGUGCACGCAUCUGCUGCGAACCCCGCCAACUGCUGCUGCCGGCUCCGCAGCGUCGACGACGACAACCAAUAAAAGCAAGAGGAAAGCCGCGCGGCAGACAAACACAACACUGGAUAUCGUGGCGGCGGCCCAGUGGCUCCUGGGGCAGCCACAGCUCGACAAGGCAACCCUACAAGACUGCGUCACAGAGCCGCGGGAGCGCACGGAGAGGCUGCUGAGAGAGGUGGCUUCGGCGGCUGACAUGCAUCCGCCUGCCAAGUCGCGCGCUAGACACGAGGCCCCCGUCGGCACCGCCGGUGCUACGGCGCUUAUGACGUGGUCGAUAGUGCAGCUGGAGCAAUUCUUGCAGUCGGAGGACAGGGAUGCGCUGGUGCAAGGCGCCAGUGGCGGUUUCGGGGGCUCUGCCAGCGCGCCGCCGUACACGCCGCUCAAGACCGCCACCGCGAUGACCACGGAGGACGUGGAGCGCUUCAUCGUGUGGUGGAAGGAGGAGGAGGCGCUGCUGCGUGGACAGCAGGAAGAGGGGGGUGACUCGGGCGACGCACUGGCUGCUUCGCGAACGCGCCGUCGCCUGGCGGUGAUGAAGCUACUACACCAGCACGGCCUCCUGCCUUCUGUGGACAUGCCCGCUUCUGCGGAGAAGAGCAGCGGCAGUAAGAAGGUGCCGAAGAGUGGCAGCAGCGACGCUGCGAGUGAAGAUGCGUGGGCCAAGACGCAAGACGUGCUGCUGAAUCGAUCCAGCGCACUGCAGUUUGUCCAAGUCGCGGGUACAACUGCACCAGCGCGGCUCCCGCUCUCUCUUUGGCGCGUUUUUAGCGCCUUGGAGAAGUUGGAGGGCCCGACACAGAUGAGGGAGAAGGCUCCCUCGGCUCACGCGGCGGUCUCGCGCAGUGGCCGCAGCGACAGUGACAGCGACGACGAUGGCGACGGUGAGACCAGCGGUAGCGGCGUAGCGGCGGGGUGCAAGUAUGCGGAGGCGUCGUCUUCCAGCACGCGGCUUUCGAGCUUCGCCGCAGCUGGGCUGCUCUUUUUGAGUGGGGUGCCGCACAGCGCGCUCAGCCGCGAAGAGGAGUGGGCGCGGCUGGAGGGAGUAACCUCGCUGCUGCGGUGCCGGCUGUUCUCCUGGCUGGGACGUCGAGUGUGCACCCGUGACACCGUUGCCGAGACACUGCAGCGCGCCGAGAGCGACCUCGCAGAGGCUUGGAUCGUCGACGUGCAAGGGCUGCUGACGCUGGCGCAGCGGUGCCAGCCGCUACCCCGUUUCGCGCAGACGCAUUGCGUGCUUCCAUUUUUGGAGGGCGUUGCACUUUUUCGCUCUGCCUGCGCACCUGCGACACCUCUAUCUGCUCGGGCAGGCAACGUGUCUCCGCCCGACAAGGUCGCCCGCGAUGCUGUGCAGGCGGCGCGAGAGGCGUAUGAGGCGCUGCUGCAGCUGUACGACGUCUCCAAGCACCCCGAGUCUUUUCUCCCGCUUCUGUACGACGGUACAUCGGCCAAGAAGCUCGCACAGCAGGCAGGGACCACGUCGAGCGUGUGCUUCAAGGCGUCGACAGCGGAGGUGCAGCGGGCCAACGCCGAGGACUGGGUGGCGUACGUGCUGUUCGAGCGCACGGUAUCCAAAGAUUUGCUGAGGGCCAAGACGGUUGUAGAGCAGGCACGUCGGGCCUCUCUGGCACCGCAGAUCUUCAUGGUGAUGCUGAACGCGCUGUAG
rnacentral:rRNA from 1 species